rnacentral:rRNA from 1 species
AUUGAACGCUGGCGGCAGGCCUAACACGUGCAAGUCGAACGGUAACAGGAAGAAGCUUGCUUCUUUGCUGACGAGUGGCGGACGGGUGAGUAAUGUCUGGGAAACUGCCUGAUGGAGGGGGAUAACUACUGGAAACGGUAGCUAAUACCGCAUAACGUCGCAAGACCAAAAAGGGGGACCUUCGGGCCUCUUGCCAUCGGAUGUGCCCAGAUGGGAUUAGCUAGUAGGUGGGGUAACGGCUCACCUAGGCGACGAUCCCUAGCUGGUCUGAGAGGAUGACCAGCCACACUGGAACUGAGACACGGUCCAGACUCCUACGGGAGGCGGCAGUGGGGAAUAUUGCACAAUGGGCGCAAGCCUGAUGCAGCCAUGCCGCGUGUAUGAAGAAGGCCUUCGGGUUGUAAAGUACUUUCAGCGGGGAGGAAGGGAGUAAAGUUAAUACCUUUGCUCAUUGACGUUACCCGCAGAAGAAGCACCGGCUAACUCCGUG